AACGAACGCUGGCGGCAUGCCUAACACAUGCAAGUCGAACGAGACCUUCGGGUCUAGUGGCGCACGGGUGCGUAACGCGUGGGAACCUGCCCUUAGGUUCGGAAUAACUCCCCGAAAGGGGUGCUAAUACCGGAUAAUGUCUUCGGACCAAAGAUUUAUCGCCUUUGGAUGGGCCCGCGUUGGAUUAGCUAGUUGGUAGGGUAAAAGCCUACCAAGGCGACGAUCCAUAGCUGGUCUGAGAGGAUGAUCAGCCACACUGGGACUGAGACACGGCCCAGACUCCUACGGGAGGCAGCAGUGGGGAAUAUUGGACAAUGGGCGAAAGCCUGAUCCAGCAAUGCCGCGUGAGUGAUGAAGGCCUUAGGGUUGUAAAGCUCUUUUACCCGGGAUGAUAAUGACAGUACCGGGAGAACAAGCUCCGACUAACUCCGUG
rnacentral:rRNA from 1 species